GGUGAGUCGGGUCCUAAGGCGAGGCCGACAGGCGUAGUCGAAUGGAUGAACGGGUGGAUAUUCCCGUACCGACCAUGGACCGGCAAAACCGAGACGGUGAGUACUAACCUCCGCCUCGUGGUGGUUCCUUCCUUCGGGUUGGUCCCGCCGCGUGGUGUUGGGAGCGUAGCCGCAGUAGGUCAGCGCAGGGGUGACACGGAAUGGGAGCCGGCCGCGGAGGUGGUUUUCCGUGGUCAAGCACGCAGCCAGUCAUGUAGGCAAAUCCGCAUGGCGCGCAUGGCGAGGUGUGAUGAUGGGAGCCUUUUGGCUCGAUAUCCGGUUGUCCAGGCCGUCGAGAAAAGCCUCGGCGUGAGGGCCAUGGCCGCCCGUACCCCAAACCGACACUGGUGGUCAGGUAGAGAAUACCAAGGCGAUCGAGCGAAUCCUGGUCAAGGAACUCGGCAAAUCACUCCCGUGCCUUCGGUAUAAGGGAGACCCGCUGGGGUGAACCGGCUAGCCCGGGGAGCUUUGGUGGGUGGCACAGACCAGGGGGUAGCGACUGUUUACCAAAAACACAGGUGCAUGCGAAGGCGAAAGCCGCUGUAUAUGCACUGACGCCUGCCCGGUGCCGGAAGGUUAAGAGGAUCCGUCAACUCUUCGGAGCGAAGCGGUGAAUUCAAGCCCCGGUAAACGGCGGUGGUAACUAUAACCAUCCUAAGGUAGCGAAAUUCCUUGUCGGGUAAGUUCCGACCUGCACGAAUGGCGUAACGACUUCCCCACUGUCUCGACCAGGAGCUCGGCGAAAUUGCAGUACGAGUAAAGAUGCUCGUUAAGCGCAGAAGGACGAAAAGACCCCGGGACCUUUACUAUACCUUGGUAUUGGCGUUAGGCGCGGAUUGUGUAGCAUAGGCGGGAGGCUUCGAAGCGGGUGCGCCAGCAUUCGUGGAGCCGCAAGGUGAAAUACCGCUCUGUUCUCGUUUGACGUCUAACCUCGACAAGUCAUCCUUGUCAGGGACAGUGCCUGGCGGGUAGUUCAACUGGGGCGGUUGCCUCCCAAAGAGUAACGGAGGCGCUCAAAGGUCCGCUCAGCCCGGUUGGCAAUCGGGUGUCGAGUGUAAUCGCACAAGCGGGCUUGACUGCGAGGACGACGGUCCGAGCAGGGACGAAAGUCGGAGAUAGUGAUCCGGUGCCGGCGCACGGGCGCGGCAUCGCUCAACGGAUAAAAGGUACCCCGGGGAUAACAGGCUGAUCAUUCCCAAGAGUCCAUAUCGACGGGAUGGUUUGGCACCUCGAUGUCGGCUCGUCGCAUCCUGGGGCUGGAGCAGGUCCCAAGGGUUCGGCUGUUCGCCGAUUAAAGCGGCACGCGAGCUGGGUUCAGAACGUCGUGAGACAGUUUGGUCUCUAUCCUCUGCGCUCGUUGGAAUCCUGAGGAGGCCUGCCCAUAGUACGAGAGGACCUGGGUGGACGAACCUCUGGUAUGCCGGUUGUCGCGCCAGCGGCACGGCCGGUUGGCUACGUUCGGGAGGGAUAACCGCUGAAAGCAUCUAAGCGGGAAGCCUGCUCCAAGAUUAGGAUUCCAUGGAUCUUCGAGAUCCUGUAGCCCGCAUGUUGAACACGUGUUUGAUAGGCCGGAGGUGGAAGCCCCGUGAGGGGUGGAGCCGACCGGUACUAACGGGCGACGGCGACAUAA
rnacentral:rRNA from 1 species